GAUGAACGCUAGCUACAGGCUUAACACAUGCAAGUCGAGGGGCAGCAUGAUUGAAGCUUGCUUCAAUUGAUGGCGACCGGCGCACGGGUGAGUAACACGUAUCCAACCUUCCGUACACUCAGGGAUAGCCUUUCGAAAGAAAGAUUAAUACCUGAUGGUAUCUUAAGCACACAUGUAAUUAAGAUUAAAGAUUUAUCGGUGUACGAUGGGGAUGCGUUCCAUUAGGUAGUAGGCGGGGUAACGGCCCACCUAGCCUACGAUGGAUAGGGGUUCUGAGAGGAAGGUCCCCCACAUUGGAACUGAGACACGGUCCAAACUCCUACGGGAGGCAGCAGUGAGGAAUAUUGGUCAAUGGACGAGAGUCUGAACCAGCCAAGUAGCGUGCAGGAUGACGGCCCUAUGGGUUGUAAACUGCUUUUAUAAGGGAAUAAAGUGGGAGUCGUGACUCUUUUUGCAUGUACCUUAUGAAUAAGGACCGGCUAAUUCCGUGCCAGCAGCCG
rnacentral:rRNA from 1 species